rnacentral:rRNA from 1 species
UACGUAGGUGGCAAGCGUUGUUCGGAAUUAUUGGGCGUAAAGGGCGCGUAGGCGGCUUGUUAAGUCGGUUGUGAAAGCCCGGGGCUCAACCCCGGAAAGUCGACCGAUACUGGCAGGCUAGAGUACGGAAGAGGUAGCUGGAAUUCCCGGUGUAGCGGUGAAAUGCGUAGAUAUCGGGAGGAAGGCCAGUGGCGAAGGCGGGUCUCUGGACAGUUCCUGACGCUGAGGCACGAAGGCCAGGGGAGCAAACGGG